rfam:Eubacterium sp. CAG:581 genomic scaffold, scf104
CGACAGGCCCUAUACGAUUGAGGCCUGUGAAUCAUGUCAGGCAGGGAACUGAGCAGCAUUAAGCAGUGUUCUCGAUGCGAUAUAGUAAGUCUGCCGUUC